rnacentral:rRNA from 1 species
UACGUAGGGGGCAAGCGUUGUCCGGAAUUAUUGGGCGUAAAGAGCUCGUAGGCGGCCUGUCGCGUCAAUUGUGAAAGCCCGGGGCUUAACCCCGGGUCUGCAGUCGAUACGGGCAGGCUAGAGUGUGGUAGGGGAGAUCGGAAUUCCUGGUGUAGCGGUGAAAUGCGCAGAUAUCAGGAGGAACACCGGUGGCGAAGGCGGAUCUCUGGGCCAUUACUGACGCUGAGGAGCGAAAGCAUGGGGAGCGAACAGG